AUUCCAGCUCCCCUUUCGUCUCUUCCCGUUGUUGCGGUUCCCCCGCUCGUCGUUGGCGUUCUGCCAGGUGCCACCUGUCCGCCCCAGUGGUGAGUACGUGGUGCGCAUUUGGCCCUUUCAAGGGGAGCGUAUUUGCACUUAAUUGUGUGGUGCGGGAUCCUUGACUUUUACUUUGAGGAAAUAAGAGUGUUCCAAGCAGGCUCUCGUCGUGCAUAGCUCAGCAUGGAAUAAUAGCAUUGGAUCUCGAUUCCAAACUGUUGGUUGUAGGAAACGAGAUAAUGAUGAAGAGGGAUAGUUGGGGGCAUUCGUAUUUAACUGUCAGAGGUGAAAUUCUUGGAUUUGUUAAAGACGAACUACUGCGAAAGCAUCUGCCAUGGAUGUUUUCAUCG
rnacentral:rRNA from 1 species